AGUGGAUUUGUUGCAUAUUAUACAUCGUGGGGUUUGUAUUAUGCAACUUUUCACUCC
rnacentral:pre_miRNA from 1 species